AACGAACGCUGGCGGCAGGCUUAACACAUGCAAGUCGAACGGGCAUAGCAAUAUGUCAGUGGCAGACGGGUGAGUAACACGUGGGAACCUUCCUAGAGGUACGGAACAACGCAGGGAAACUUGUGCUAAUACCGUAUACGCCGGAGACACGAAAGAUUUAUCGCCUUUAGACGGGCCCGCGUAGGAUUAGGUAGUUGGUGAGGUAAUGGCUAACCAAGCCUACGAUCCUUAGCUGAUCUGAGAGGAUGAUCAGCCACGCUGGAACUGGUACACGGUCCAGACUGCUACGGGAGGCAGCAGUGGGGAAUCUUGGACAAUGGGCGCAAGCCUGAUCCAGCCAUGCCGCGUGAGUGAAGAAGGCCUUCGGGUUGUAAAGCUCUUUUACCAGGGACGAUAAUGACGGUACCUGGAGAAUAAGCCCCGGCUAACUUCGUGCCAGCCGCCGCGGUAA
rnacentral:rRNA from 1 species